GGGGAAGUGGCGGAAUUGGCAGACGCGCAUGACUUAGGAUCAUGUCUCUUUGAGGUGAGGGUUCGAGUCCCUCCUUCCUCA
rnacentral:tRNA from 1 species